UCGCGAAACCUUCACACUGGGGGAAACCCUGAUGAGGGAAUUCCUAGUGCCUGCAUUUUUUGUAGGCUUUUAUCUAGUGUAGAUAGCUAGAAGAAUAAGGGCCGGGUAAGACGGGUGCCAGCCGCCGCGGUAAUACCCGCGGCCCAAGUGGUGGUCGAUAUUAUUGAGUCUAAAACGUCCGUAGCCGGUUCAGUAAAUCUUUGGGUAAAUCGGCCAGCUUAACUGACCGAAUUCCGAAGAGACUGCUGAACUUGGGACCGGGAGAGGCCAGAGGUACUUCUGGGGUAGGGGUAAAAUCCUGUAAUCCUAGAAGGACCACCGGUGGCGAAGGCGUCUGGCUAGAACGGAUCCGACGGUGAGGGACGAAGCCCUGGGGCGCAAACGGGAUUAGAUACCCCGGUAGUCCAGGGUGUAAACGCUGCAGGCUUGGUGUUGGGGGUCCUUCGGGGGCGCCCAGUGCCGGAGAGAAGUUGUUAAGCCUGCUACUUGGGGAGUACGUCCGCAAGGAUGAAACUUAAAGGAAUUGGCGGGGGAGCACCGCAACGGGGGGAGCGUGCGGUUUAAUUGGAUUCAACACCGGAAAACUCACCAGGAGCGACGGUUACAUGAAAGUCAGGCUGAUGACCUUACUAGAUUUUCC
rnacentral:rRNA from 1 species